UUAUGUCAACGAUGAAGAAGUGCGCGCAGUUCUUAUCUUAUCAUUUCUCUAUUUGAGAAAUACCUAAUUAUAGUUAGUUGUUUAUGAUCGAGCGGCCGUGAGCAGACAUUAGUUGUUUCAUAAUUCGAUUCAGUCCUCUGGCACGUCGCGGUCUGUGUCGCACGCCUGUUUGGAAGCAGUUACUAUUUUAUUGAGUGUUUUAGUGUAUAUUCUCAAGAAUCAUGUCUUCUGAUAGCCCAAGAGUAUUAUCAAUCCAAAGCCAUGUAGUACAUGGAUAUGUUGGCAAUAAAAGUGCUGUAUUUCCACUGCAGGUGUUAGGUUUUGAAGUAGAUUAUAUCAAUACUGUCCAAUUCUCAACACAUACAGCCUACAAACAUAUAAAAGGACAAAGUUUAAAAAAUGAAGAGUUAGAUGAGCUUAUAGAAGGGUUGACUUUGAACGAAGUAGACUACUACACUCAUUUCCUAACUGGCUACUCGAGAUCACCUGAUUCAUUGAAGAAAAUCGUAGAAAUUCUCAAAAAGUUAAGGGAAAAGAACCCUAAUCUAAACUAUGUAUGUGACCCUGUAAUGGGUGACAAUGGAAAAAUGUACGUGCCAGAGGAUAUUCUGCCAGUAUACCGCGACGUCGUGGUUCCAUUAGCUGACGUCAUCACGCCGAACCAGUACGAGGCAGAAUUGAUCACAGGAAUGAAAAUGAACAGCCUAGAAGAUGCUAUGAAGAUAAUUGAUGCUCUGCACAAGAAGGGACCUAAAACUGUUGUGCUGUCGAGCACAGAACUUGGUGAUGACAAAUGUAUGAUUGGGCUUGCUAGCACUGCGGGAGUUCAGUACGAGAUUAGUAUUCCGAAGGUGGACGCCGCGUUCACGGGGACUGGUGACUUGUUUGCAUCGCUGUUCCUAGCGUGGUGGCACAAGACGAAUAACAACUUGAAACUCACGCUGGAAAACACGAUAUCCACGCUACAAAUCAUUGUCAAAGAUACAUAUCAGAAAGCUAGAGAUAAACAGCCUACUGGCAAGAUUCCACCACAACUGAGAGAGUUACGCAUCAUUCAGAACAAGAACUUCAUUGAAAACCCAAAGAUUACCAUUAGUGCAAAACAGCUAAGUAGUUAAAUCCAUAUUAGUUUAUUACUAGCAAAAAUGGGAUGAAUUUUCUAUAUAUAUCUGUUACUAUUGUACCUACAAGAUGAUAACAAUGUUGGUCAUAUCGUCGCCCUCCCCGCUAACUGUCGUAUCUCACAAACCGACGUAUCUGCACUGACAUUUAAUAGAUACCUUAGGGCUUUAGGGCGACUACAAAAUUAAAAAUAAGCCAAGACCUAUAUAAAAAAAAACUUUUUAAUUCAUUAAUAAAGCCACAAAUAACGCAUCUACAGUAAUUUAACUGUAACGCCCGACCGAAAAACGGUUGCCCUGGAAAAACAUCAAUUGGUAGUUAGGACAGUUAGCCGGGAGGGUGACGAUAUAAGCAUUAAUCUUAUGGUUCAGAUAUAUCUUUUGGUUCAGAUAAGCAUUAAUCUUCAAUGUCUCCGUGUUAUAGGAAAGUGCUUAAAUGUGACGCAUUUGUUAAAUAUUAAAUAAGUAAUUUCAUUCUAGUAAAAUUUAUAGUCGCG